rnacentral:rRNA from 1 species
GACGAACGCUGGCGGCGCGCCUAACACAUGCAAGUCGAACGGUGAACCGGGCUUCAGCCCGGGGAUCAGUGGCGAACGGGUGCGUAACACGUGGGCAACCUGCCCCCGACCCUGGGAUAACCCCGGGAAACCGGAGCUAAUACCGGAUACUCUCCUCCGACCGCUUGGUCGAGGGAGGAAAGGUCCGCCGGUCGGGGAUGGGCCCGCGGCCUAUCGGCUUGUUGGUGGGGUAACGGCCUACCAAGGCGACGACGGGUAGCUGGUCUGAGAGGACGAGCGGCCACACGGGGACUGAGACACGGCCCAGACUCCUACGGGGGGCAGCAGUGGGGAAUCUUGCGCAAUGGGCGAACGCCUGACGCAGCGACGCCGCGUGGGGGACGAAGGCCUUUCAGGUCGUAAACCCCUUUCGGAAGGGACGAAGCGAUCUCGUGACGGUACCUGCAGAAGAAGCCACGGCCAACUUCGUGCCAGCAGCCGCCGUAAGAC